AUUGAACGCUGGCGGCAUGCCUUACACAUGCAAGUCGAACGGCAGCACGGGAGCAAUCCUGGUGGCGAGUGGCGAACGGGUGAGUAAUGUAUCGGAACGUACCUUUCAGUGGGGGAUAACGUAGCGAAAGUUACGCUAAUACCGCAUAUUCUGUGAGCAGGAAAGCAGGGGAUCGCAAGACCUUGCGCUGAUUGAGCGGCCGAUAUCAGAUUAGCUAGUUGGUGAGGUAAAGGCUCACCAAGGCGACGAUCUGUAGCGGGUCUGAGAGGAUGAUCCGCCACACUGGAACUGAGACACGGUCCAGACUCCUACGGGAGGCAGCAGUGGGGAAUUUUGGACAAUGGGCGCAAGCCUGAUCCAGCCAUGCCGCGUGAGUGAAGAAGGCCUCGGUGUAAG
rnacentral:rRNA from 1 species